GCUUGGCAGCAUCUUCACAGCAAGACUUUUAAAACAAAGGUAAUUGCACAGUGUAACAACAGUUAUACAAUAAUGAGCAAGAACAAAAAGAAACAAAACAAGAUUAUACAAUAUUUAAACAAUAUUCACAAAAAGGAAAACAGAACCUACAUGGUAACAAACAUAGCAACCAAACUACUGUUUGACGCAUUGAAGAGGUCAAAAUUAUUAUAUAUAUUAGCUAUUACAUAUUCGUAUAGAGCUACCAAUCCCUGCAAAAUCUAGAUCACUGGUUUUCAUUACACACACACACACACACACACACACACACACACACACACACACACACACACACACACACACACACACACACACACACACGCACACACACGCACACGCACACACACGCACACACACACGCACACACACACACACACACACACACACACACACACCAAGAAGGAAACAGCGAGAAAAGAAAAAAAAGAAGGAAAAGUAUGGGGAACCGCGGUCGUCUUGCGCCGUCGCAUCUCCCUCGCCCAGGAGGAAUAAAGAGGUUUUUGGUAAGCAGGGAUGGGCGAUUCUCUCCGUCAGCAUCAGCUUCCACCAGCGAGGACGGGGCGAGGAAGCGAAGCGGGGCUUUGCUAUUCGUCAGGCGCAACGCCGCCCGCUCGCGGGGCCGGAGGCAGGGCGGCAAGGGUGCGAGUUCCCGCCAAAUGCUAGCCCUGAAUGCCAGCUCGUUUCGCGUCUCGACAGCUUAGUGGAGUAGUUGGUGCAUUUCUGUUAUCAUGGACUGCGCAUAUAAAACUACACAAGGUAACAUGGACAAGAAGAGCGCAAGCCCUUUCCAUGCAGUGGAGCCGCCUUGUCACGUCGUUCAGAAUAUGCGUACUCGUAGGUGGCAUUUUAAUUUUAUGUUGUGUAGUACAUGACCGCCUUUGUCAAGUGAACAAAACUCGCUCUGUAUUGCGCAAAUGGUUUUGCAAUGUAUGAUGAACUCCUUGUUAUUGUGUUGUUGUCUUUCUGGCAGGAAGAAAAAAAUAAGAGCUUUAUAUGAGAACGGAUCAAGCGUUCUAGAGUUGGGACAAGGAAAUGUGAGACGUAUACUUUCAUAUAUAUUUUUUCAUAUGAUUUUUUCGUCUUGUAAGCGUGGCGUAUUUUCCUUUAUUUUUUUUCUAGGAAACAUUGGAACGACACUGCUUAAAUUGAAGCAUAGUGUACGAAUGACCUGCUACGCUCGGUCGGGAAGAAAUCAGGUAAGAAUGGAUUGUGUGUGGCACUUCUCCACAUAUGGACUUGAGUAGAUCUAGGAACAUCAGACAAAAAUGCAUGUACGUGAAACACUGUGGACAACCGAUAUUUUGUAUGAGCACUGUAACUAUCCAAGAUUCACUCUCGACGGGGACAGAGAAAUACCGGAUGCUGUACCGUUCAGAGCCAAGAACAUGUAAUGGCUGAAAAAGAGACUUCCAGGCAGUAUGCAAAACUCUAGCUCACAGCAGACCAGCACUGUCCUUUAGCUGUAUCGUACUAUUUCAGUGAACAAAGACUGCUUGCAAAUUGUUAACACUGCUGCACGAAAAAAAUAAUGUAUUUUAUGAUUGCAAAAUAAACCCCUAAAAAAUAAAACAUUGCGUUCACGUGUUUCUUUUGUUGAGUGUUACGUAUUUAUACUAACGAGUACAGAGAAUAAUUAGUGGCAUUUAAUUAUGUUUCACAUGUAACUUAUACGAGCAUGUCGCGUAUAUUAAUUGUCAGCGCGAUUUAAACGCCUCUAAUAAACUGUGUAUGGUUGACCUGAAAACGUAACACGCAGAAAAAAAAAACCUGAUGUGUUUUUCAAUAUAAUAAAAAAUAAAGAAAAAAAACGUCCGCACCCAGCCGAUGGCCAAAGGCAAACCGGUGCUUACGAAAUGUUGGGUCGUAGUCGGCCCACGUGCAGUGUGCACUCGGCCGCGUCGGCUGCAGUGGUCGGGCCGUCGCUUGCCGAUGGUCGUUAGACGUGAGGCCAGUGUCAAUCCCCGAUGCCGGCCCCCCAUCGGGUGCCGAGGUUGGGCCAACCGUUUUGCAGUCGGCCAGAGACGUUGGGCCGAUUUCGUAACGGGGACUUUCUGCUGCUUGGGUUCUUGUUUGCUUCAAUUAGCUUUCCGCUAAAUUUUCUCUCCCCCAAUUAACAUGGAUAUCCUUCCCUUACUAUAGCUUCUGUCAAUUGUAGAGGUUUGU